UGUGUUUACUUCGGCUGCACAACAUACAGAAGCUAGAAUGAUAUGGAGAUUAGCAAGGCCCCUGCACAAAGAUGAAAUGCAAAUUCACGAAGUGUUCCUUAUCUUA